rnacentral:rRNA from 1 species
GUUAGGAAUAUUGGACAAUGGGCGAAAGCCUGAUCCAGCCAUGUCGCGUGAACGAUGAAGGCCUUCGGGUUGUAAAGUUCUUUAGCCGAUGAUUAUAAUGACUGUAGUCGGAAAAUAAGCCCCGGCUAACUUCGUGCCAGCAGCCGCGGUAAUACGAAGGGGGCGAGCGUUAUUCGGAAUCACUGGGCGUAAAGCGUGCGUAGGCGGUUUUGUAAGUUAGGAGUGAAAGCCCAGGGCUCAACCUUGGAAUUGCUCUUAAAACUGCAAGGCUCGAAUCUCGGAGAGGAUAGCGGAAUUUCCAGUGUAGCAGUGAAAUGCGUAGAUAUUGGAAGGAACACCAGUGGCGUAAGCGGCUAUCUGGACGAGUAUUGACGCUGAGGCACGAAAGUGUGGGGAUCAAACAGGAUUAGAUACCCGAGUAGUCC